rnacentral:misc_RNA from 1 species
GAAAUGCGAUAAGUAGUGUGAAUUGCAGAAUGCAGUGAAUCAUCGAAUCUUUGAACGCACAUUGCGCCCCUCGGCAUUCCGUGGGGCAUGCCUGUUCGAGCGUCAUCUACACCCUCAAGCUCUGCUUGGUGUUGGGCGUCUGUCCCGCCUCCGCGCGCGGACUCGCCCCAAAUGCAUUGGCAGCGGUUCCUUGCCCCCCUCUUUGCGCAGCACAUUGCCAUUCGAGGCGGCGGCGGCCCGCGUCCAACAAGCUCAACCCCCCCGUCUUUGACCUCGGAUCAGGUAGGGAUACCCGCUGAACUUAAGC